UACGUAGGUCCCGAGCGUUGUCCGGAUUUAUUGGGCGUAAAGCGAGCGCAGGCGGUUUUUUAAGUCUGAAGUUAAAGGCAUUGGCUCAACCAAUGUACGCUUUGGAAACUGGAGAACUUGAGUGCAGAAGGGGAGAGUGGAAUUCCAUGUGUAGCGGUGAAAUGCGUAGAUAUAUGGAGGAACACCGGUGGCGAAAGCGGCUCUCUGGUCUGUAACUGACGCUGAGGCUCGAAAGCGUGGGGAGC
rnacentral:rRNA from 1 species